CAUGAUGCAAUAAUGAAAGGUGUUAUACGUUGGCAACUUCUCGCUCUAAUCCGCCAUCUUGAACUACCUUAGGAGAAACUGUGUUGUUUCUUUGCUAUUUUCACUGAACAUUUCCCAAAAUAUUAGAAAAAAAUUCUGAACAAGCUACAUUGAUUCAAUUUUCGUUGUUCGUUUUGUUCUUAUUCGCUGACAUUUGUUUUCCAAUUGCGUGAAAUUUGGUCAUUUCCUUAGUGUUUCGCUGACCGACCUGUGCUGGUAUUGUGAUUAAGAGCUAAUACACAUUUUUCGGACGAUUCUGCUGUGCUGCGUUCCUGCUCCGCCUGUAUAUUGCUCCGCCCGUAUUUUAUAGUGUUGCGUUCCUGUUGCGCCUUUGCAUUAGUUUGUGCGUUGUGAUUUAGACACGUUGAAGUAAGUUGAAACCAGGUUCUCGUUUGUUAAAAACCUAAAAAACCAUUUAUUUGCAGAUUUUUUGUAUGCUUCUGCUGUGCUGCGUUCCUGCUCCUCCCGUGUAUUAGAUUGCUGCGUUCCUGUUAACAUACAUAUCGUCGCUUAAAGUACAAAACCGCGUAACUGACAUUUGCUGCUAAAAAUUGGAUUCGCUCACACACGUUUUUGGAUCAAUCCUUAUCCAUUCUUCCUGAAAUAUACUAGCCCAAAAUGCGAUUGCUUUUUACAAAAUGAUAACCAUUUUGAAAUAUGAGUGUUUUUACUCUCUAGAAAUUAAUUUAUGCAACCUCGCAUACGUGGGUUUGCAUUAUCUCUAUACGCGGUUUUGCAAUUUAUUGAUACAUGGU